rnacentral:rRNA from 1 species
GACGAACGCUGGCAGAGUGCCUAAUACAUGCAAGUCAAGCGAAUCGGCGGAUGGGUGGGUAACGCGUGGGUAACCUACCCUUAAGUCUGGGAUACCAGUUGUAAACAGAUGCUAAUACCGGAUACUAUAGGAGGGACCCACGAUGCAUUAGCUAGGUGGUAAGGUAACGGCUUACCAAGGCGAUGAUGCAUAGCCGAGUUGAGAUACUGAUCGGCCACAUUGGGACUGAGACACGGCCCAAACUCCUACGGGAGGCAGCAUUAGGGAAUCUUCCACAAUGGACGAAAGUCUGAUGGAGCAACGCCGCGUGAGUGAAGAAGGUUUUCGGAUCGUAAAGCUCUGUUGUUGGUGAAGCGGUAAUCAACCAGAAAGUCACGGCUAACUACGUGCCAGCCGCCGCGGUAAUAC